rnacentral:rRNA from 1 species
ACCCUUAGAUGUUCUGGGCUGCACGCGCGCUACACUGAUGCGUUCAACGAGUGUAUAACCUUGCCCGAUAGGGUUGGGUAAUCUUUUGAACACGCAUCGUGAUGGGGAUAGAUUAUUGCAAUUAUUAAUCUUCAACGAGGAAUUCCUAGUAAUGAUGAAUCAUCAGUUCAUCGUGAUUACGUCCCUGCCCUUUGUACACACCGCCCGUCGCUCCUACCGAUUGAGCAAUCCGGUGAAUACUUCGGACCGGUUACUUGGUUGGUUCGCUAACCUUGUGACUGGAAAGUCGAGUGAACCUUAUUGCUUAGAGGAAGGAGAAGUCGUAACA